AACUAGCCCUGAUAGUAGCGGCAUCCUUUUCCUGUUUUCGUUUUUUAACGAGAAUAGGAAAAGAUAUAGCGGAUAGCAGGAAAUAGC
rnacentral:sRNA from 1 species